CUCGCAAGAGUGAACUAGCUAACUGAAAUCAUAGAAUUUUUUAAAAUUCAUGAUGUCGUAAGGGAAAAUAAUGAUAAUACCUUACUAUGAGUGUCGCCCAAAUCUGGUGCCAGAAGACUCGGUAAGACCAGAGACGCAAACGUUAAUCAUCAUAAACAGGCGUAAAGGGUUUGUAGGCAGCUUUCACCAAACUAUGAUUACAAAAUAAAGUAGUUUAAUUGAAAGCUAGAAUCAAAAAGAGGUUAUAGUGUAUAACGCCUAGAGGAGGGCUGAUAUCCAUAGAUCCUAGGCAGAAUACUCAGGGCGAAGGCCACUCUCCACUACUGAUUGACGCUGAGAAACGAAGGUUAGGGUAGGAAAUAGGAUUAGAUACCCCGGUACUCCUUUCUGUAAACGAUGAAUGGUAGUCAUUAGUUUUAUAACUAGAGACGAAGUUAACACAAUAACCAUUCCGCCUUGUGAGUACUACUGCNAAGUAGAAAACCAAAAAAUUAGUCGGUCUCGAAGCAAACGGAGUGCA
rnacentral:rRNA from 1 species